rnacentral:lncRNA from 1 species
GCUGUUUGUCAGAGGAACUAGAUCUACAGCGCAAGCACGGGCUCACUCAGAAAAGAGGGAAGGCAUCAUGAAAGGACUUGGGAGUGAGACCCCCGUCAAACUUGGAAACGCAAGACUUCUACAGAAGACGGCUCUCGGGUAAGAUUUUUUUGUUCACAGAUAACAUCAGUAUUUGUGUACUGUAUCUGUUCUGUGUAUGGUACCAUUGCAUUUCUGUUAGUCUCUUCAGCCUG